GCUCUGGGGAGAGUCCUGGCCAGGAUGCCAGGGCAUGUAUUAUUUAGGACUUUUAUUUGUCCCUGUCCCAGGUUAGGUACUGUUCCAAGCAAUUCAGUCCCACCCUUUAUCUGCACACCAGAAACAAAGUGAGGAAAAGCGCACAGCAGGCCUAAGUCCUGGUUCUCCCAGAAGUCCUAGUAUAAAUUAUUUAACUCCUCGGAGCCACCCCCCCUCCCUAACUAUAAUAUGGAGAAAAUACACUCAAGGAAAGGUGGUCCCACAUCGCGGCUGCAGCUCAGGUUCCUGGCCUGCUUGGCCUGGAACACGCCGUGCAAAUAGUUGUGCUGCAGCCAUCCACACAAGCUGUGCGUGCUCACCAGGGCCCCAGGGCUAGGCCGGAUGCUAGUGGGAUACAGACGUGACUCUGAGCAGCCCCUGGGGGGCAGACAUCACCUGGAGAACUGAAAGACCCCAUGACGAGGCACCGGCCUCAGCGAGGGCAGGAGCCUGGGUCGAGCCACGCAGCCGGAUGGUGGAGAAGCCCAGGGCUCAGCCCUCCGCGACCCCAGGAGGGCUCCUCUGUGCGGCCUCCGCUGAGAGCCGACCUGCCCUGGAGAGUCGCUGCGGGUCGCGGAGGACGCUCUAGAGAAGAGCGGAGGCCGCGGGAGAUCAGGCGGGA